GAUGAACGCUGGCGGCGUGCCUAAUACAUGCAAGUCGAGCGAACGGACGAGAAGCUUGCUUCUCUGAUGUUAGCGGCGGACGGGUGAGUAACACGUGGAUAACCUACCUAUAAGACUGGGAUAACUUCGGGAAACCGGCGCUAAUACCGGAUAAUCUUUUGAACCGCAUGGUUCAAAAGUGAAAGACGGUCUUGCUGUCACUUAUAGAUGGAUCCGCGCUGCAUUAGCUAGUUGUUAAGGUAACGGCUUACCAAGGCAACGAUGCAUAGCCGACCUGAGAGGGUGAUCGGCCCCACUGGAACUGAGACACGGUCCAGGCUCCAACGGGAGGCAGCAGUAGGGAAUCUUCCGCAAGGGGCGGAAGCCUGACGGAGCAGCGCCGCGUGAGUGAUGAAGGUCUUCGGAUCGUAAAACUCUGUUAUUAGGGAAGAACAUAUGUGUAAGUAACUGUGCACAUCUUGACGGUACCUAAGCAGAAAGCCACGGCUAACUACGUGC
rnacentral:rRNA from 1 species